GAUGAACGCUGGCGGCGUGCCUAAUACAUGCAAGUCGAGCGAACGGACGAGAAGCUUGCUUCUCUGAUGUUAGCGGCGGACGGGUGAGUAACACGUGGAUAACCUACCUAUAAGACUGGGAUAACUUCGGGAAACCGGAGCUAAUACCGGAUGAUAUUUUGAACCGCAUGGUUCAAAAGUGAAAGACGGUCUUGCUGUCACUUAUAGAUGGAUCCGCGCUGCAUUAGCUAGUUGGUAAGGUAACGGCUUACCAAGGCAACGAUGCAUAGCCGACCUGAGAGGGUGAUCGGCCACACUGGAACUGAGACACGGUCCAGACUCCUACGGGAGGCAGCAGUAGGGAAUCUUCCGCAAUGGGCGAAAGCCUGACGGAGCAACGCCGCGUGAGUGAUGAAGGUCUUCGGAUCGUAAAACUCCGUUAUUAGGGAAGAACAUAUGUGUAAGUAACUGUGCACAUCUUGACGGUACCUAAGCAGAAAGCCACGGCUAAAUACGU
rnacentral:rRNA from 1 species